rnacentral:rRNA from 1 species
AUUGAACGCUGGCGGAAUGCUUUACACAUGCAAGUCGAACGGCAGCACGGGGCAACCUGGUGGCGAGUGGCGAACGGGUGAGUAAUACAUCGGAACGUGCCCAAUCGUGGGGGAUAACGUAGCGAAAGUUACGCUAAUACCGCAUACGAUCUACGGAUGAAAGCGGGGGAUCGCAAGACCUCGCGCGAAUGGAGCGGCCGAUGUCAGAUUAGGUAGUUGGUGGGGUAAAGGCUCACCAAGCCGACGAUCUGUAGCUGGUCUGAGAGGACGACCAGCCACACUGGGACUGAGACACGGCCCAGACUCCUACGGGAGGCAGCAGUGGGGAAUUUUGGACAAUGGGCGCAAGCCUGAUCCAGCCAUUCCGCGUGCAGGAUGAAGGCCUCGGGUUGUAAACUGCUUUUGUACGGUAACG